AGCAAGGCUGUCCUUGGCUGUGAGCCCCUUGUUGGAGAAGAUCGGGUAGACGCUGAGAAAGGAGCCUGGCUGGCUCAGGCAGGCAGCCAGGCACUGGAAGGUGAGGGAGAGAAGACUUCUGGAACCCACAAAAAGAGGCAGCCAGCAGCAGCUCAGCUCUUCAGGAGUCAUGGCUAGAACCUCCGUCCUGGUGCUGUUGUUUCUCAGUCAACUUGUAGCUACCUCCUUAGCUCAGAAAGUGGGACCCCGGGGCCCCGCUGGACCUCAAGGACCUCCUGGACCUCCUGGAAAAGACGGCAUCGAUGGUGAAGAUGGUCCUCCAGGUCUUCCUGGCCCCCCGGGUCCCAAAGGAUCUCCAGGGAAGCCAGGGAAACCUGGAGAAGCUGGGCUGCCUGGGCUGCCAGGUGUAGAUGGUCUGACGGGUCAGGAUGGGCCCCCUGGUCCCAAAGGCUCACCUGGAGAAAGGGGUAGCCUUGGACCUCCAGGUCCUCCUGGGUUGGGGGUAAGUACUCCUUUCUUAUCUGUAGGACUUGGGGAGA
rnacentral:lncRNA from 1 species